AGGCGUCCCAAGGACUCCGCCAGGUGCCAGUUCUUGCCCGGAUUCCUGGCAAUAUUGUCACAAUGUGACAAUUGUUGGUGUCUGGGGCCAGGGAGUCCAGGUCAUCGUCUCCUCAGCCAAAACCACGGCCCCAUCAGUCUUCCCGCUGGCUCCCUGCAGUGGGGGUACAUCCAGUCCCACAGUGGCCAUGGCCUGCCUGGUCAAGAACUACUUCCCUGAGCCUGUGACCGUGACAUGGAACUCAGGUGCCCUGACCAGUGGCGUGCACACCUUCCCAGCUGUCCGGAAGUCCUCGGGGCUCUACUCCCUCAGCAGCAUGGUGACCGUACCAGCCAGCAGCUGGUCCAGCCAGACCUACACCUGCAACGUAGCCCAUCCGGCCAGCAACACCAAGGUGGACAAGCGCAUUGCACCUCCUGGCCCCACUCCCCAAUGCCAACCAUGUGAAGUGGUGGGAGGCCCAUCGGUCUUCAUCUUCCCCCCAAAGCCCAAGGACACCCUCAUGAUCUCACUGACACCCAAGGUCACAUGUGUGGUGGUGGACGUAAGCCAGGAUGAACCUGAAGUCAAGUUCACUUGGUACGUGGACAACGUGGAGGUACGCACAGCCCAGACGCAGCCACGGGAGCAGCAGUUCAACAGCACAUACCGCGUGGUCAGCACCCUCCCUGUCCUGCACCAGGACUGGCUGAAGGGCAAGGAGUUCAAAUGCAAGGUCGACAACAAAGCCCUUCCGGCCCCCAUCUCGAAAACCAUCUCCAAAGCCAAAGGUCAGGUCCGUGAGCCACACGUGUAUGUCAUGGGCCCUGCACGGGAGGAGAUGACCCAGUCUCGUGUCAGCUUGACCUGUCUGGUCAAAGGCUUCUACCCCGAGGAUAUUGUCGUUGAGUGGGAGCACAAGGGCAGGCCCGAAAACGACUACAAGACCACCCCACCUGUGCAGGACUCGGACGGGUCCUUCUUCCUCUACAGCAAGCUCACCAUAAACAAGGAGAAUUGGCAGUCAGGAGAUGGCUAUUCGUGCUCUGUGAUGCAUGAGGGCCUGCACAACCACUACACCCAGAAGUCCCUCUCCAUGUCUCCGGGUAAAUGAGCUCUGCACCCGGCAAGCCCCUCGCCCCUGUGAGGGUGCAUGUCCCACCCAUGUACAUACCUCCUGGGCACACAGCAUGGAAAUAAAGCUCCCAACACUUCCCUGGG